CAAUAGCGUAUACUAAAGUUGUUGCGAUUAAAAAGCUCGUAGUUGGAUCUCAGGCAUGGGCGCACGGUCCGCCUCGCGGCGGUCACUGUGUGUUUUGUUUCCCAUCCUACGCUUCCCGGUUAUCAGCCCAUGGUGCUCUUCACUGAGCGUUUUGGGUGGCCGGAACGUUUACUUUGAAGAAAUUAGAGUGUUCAAAGCAGGCACGUCGCCUGAAUAAUGGUGCAUGGAAUAAUGGAAUAGGACCUCGGUUCUAUUUUGCUGGUUUUCGGAACACGAGGUAAUGAUUAAGAGGGACGGACGGGGGCAUCCGUAUUGCGGUGUUAGAGGUGAAAUUCUUGGAUCAUCGCAAGACGAACAACUGCGAAAGCAUUUGCCAAGCAUGUUUUCAUUAG
rnacentral:rRNA from 1 species